rnacentral:ncRNA from 1 species
GACUUGAUUAGAUUGAGCCUUGGUAUGGAAACCUGCUAAGUGGUAACUUCCAAAUUCAGAGAAACCCUGGAAUUAAAAAUGGGCAAUCCUGAGCCAAAUCUUUAUGUUAAGAAAACAAAGGAUAGGUGCAGAGACUCAAUGGAAGCUGUUCUAACAAAUGGAAUUGACGUUGACUACGUUGCGUUGGUAGCUGGAAUCCCUCUAUCGAAAUUACAGAAAGGAUGACCCUAUAUGCGUAUAUAUACAUACUGACAUAUCAAACGAUUAAUCACAACUCGAAUCUGGAAUCCAUAUUAUUAACUAUAACUAUAUAUUAUAGUUAUUAUUAUAUAUAUUUUGUUUCUAUUUUAAAAAAGAUAUAUUUUUUUAUAAAUUUAUAGAUUAAUUAAGAGUUAUUAUAAAUAUAUUCCAGUCGAAGUUGAAGGAAGAAUCGAAUAUUCAGUAUUCAGUGAUCAAAUCAUUCAUUCCGGAGUCGGAUAGAUCUUUUGAAAAAAUGAUUAAUCGGACGAGAAUAAAGAGAGAGUCCUGUUCUACGUGUCAAUACCGACAGCAAUGAAAUUUAUAGUAUUAGGAAAAUCCGUCGACUUUAGAAAUCGUGA